UUCCUGGUAGCCCAGUGGCUAAGACUCUGCCCUUCCAAUGCAGAGGGCCUAGGUUGGAUCCCUGGUCAGGGAA
rnacentral:tRNA from 1 species